rnacentral:lncRNA from 1 species
AAAAUACUAUGUACUAGGUGGAGGCUUUUUUCUUGGUCUGAGUUUUAAGUUAUUGGUAUUAGCAAAUCUGUUUUCUCCCUACCUUGUUUUAAACAGAUUCAGGCCUUCUAAAAACUGAUGGUUUACUCAGAUUGAGAUACAUUUCACUCUGUUCUCUUACAUGAUUUUAGGUGCAGAGACCAAGAUCUUUCAUACGCUGUGGACAUUGGUGGUAGUAGAGCCGGUCAAGAAAUAAGAGAAGUUGGAGGCCAGACAAAAUGCUUGUCACAAGAGUGCGGAGUGAAUGAGUCCGGCAAGCCUGUGCCUUUCCUCUGGGUCAGGUGCCAGUAUAGACUCUGCGUGGCCAUCUUUCACAAGGAACUUUCCAAUAGAGCCUUGUGUGACACGUGUUUUAUAACCUGGUCAAAUGCGUGUUGCUGUACCGCCGUCCUCUUGGGAAAAGCGUGCCAUACCCUGCCCUGGACAUUCCAUACAUAA